CCUACGGGUGGCAGCAGUGGGGAAUAUUGGACAAUGGGCGAAAGCCUGAUCCAGCCAUGCCGCGUGUGUGAAGAAGGCCUUCGGGUUGUAAAGCACUUUCAGUGGGGAAGAAAGCCUUGGGGCUAAUACCCUCGAGGAAGGACAUCACCCACAGAAGAAGCACCGGCUAACUCCGUGCCAGCAGCCGCGGUAAUACGGAGGGUGCGAGCGUUAAUCGGAAUUACUGGGCGUAAAGCGCGCGUAGGCGGUCUGAUAAGCCGGUUGUGAAAGCCCCGGGCUCAACCUGGGAACGGCAUCCGGAACUGUCAGGCUAGAGUGCAGGAGAGGAAGGUAGAAUUCCCGGUGUAGCAGUGAAAUGCGUAGAGAUCGGGAGGAAUACCAGUGGCGAAGGCGGCCUUCUGGACUGACACUGACGCUGAGGUGCGAAAGCGUGGGUAGCAAACAGGAUUAGAUACCCUGGUAGUC
rnacentral:rRNA from 1 species